UACAGGCCAUCUGACGUUCAUUAGGACGUCGUGGUUGUGACUGUGUUGAUGGUAAUUCCGGCAAACGUCGAACAAAGCCUGCCCGUGGCCCGUCGAUAAAUGGUCGACAACAAGCCGUUCAUAAUGGCGAAAAAAAAAAAAGAUGAGGGCGCUGUACUGCGUCGUUCGUGUUGUCGUAUUCAUCUCGGUGUUGGCGGCGUCGUUGUGGGCGUCUCUGUGUUGGGAACCGGCGAUCGGGGAAACUGGUCAAUAGCAGCCGCAAAAGUUCAACACAGCAAGCAUCUAGACAAGCGAUUUACAAGGAAAAGACGCUUGCAUCGAGCGUCGCUUUGUUCCGUUCCGCUUCAGUAUAUCGACUACUGGUCUGCCACAACAACAAGAUAUUAGAGGUGUUCAAUCGCAGGGAUCUGUAUAGCAUCUACGUCUCGUAUAUAGAAUUAAGCUGACAUUCGACAGUCUCCUCGGCCUAUGCUUGUUCGAUAGAAAUAUAGUCUGAGGACAGAAGAUCUAAACAUAGCGCAGCGGGCCAAACUGGCUACAACCGAGUGUCCUGAAUACAGGCCGCUGUAAGUGCGGUCCAAUGUGGCGGAUCACGCAGAAGCUAUUAAAGGACUGUCGUAUAUGGACGUACGAUUCCAAUGCUCACGGCUGGUCUGAAAAGCAGCGACUCCCGUUUUCAUCGCCGAACGAUUGCAUCCACGAGUUUUAUCCUGCCUAUUUAGUCGUUGUUGUUCCUGUUGACCGGCGGACAAAUCGGCUGUCCUGUUUCCUUCCGGUACGGCAAAUGCUUUAGUAGCUUAUCAGAGUAUUCAGGACCGUCGCACAUAGUAGUGGAAAGCGGGUAGUAUGCAGAUGUGGUACCUAUCCCGCCCGCUGAAUCAGGUAAUGCAUCGUGUAAGGCAUUGUGUAUUUCCAUAAAGAAAAUUUCCUAUAGACGCAUCACAAAUAACAUACGACUAGCAGCUAUAUUAGUGACUUCUUUGAGGUAAAAAAAUCAUACAUAUAAUGGUGUUUCGAUGUGUGUUACCACUCUUGGCACUAUUUAGAAUUUUUCAUGGCGGACUGUAAAACUAAUUCACCAGUAGCCCCUUCUAUACGAUAAUAUUAUCGCUAUUUUGAUUGCAGAUUGGGAACAGAAAGCCAAGUGCGAGUAAUUUAAUCGAAUGGUUUCUUUGCUUUAAAAUUUUGCACAUUAUCGUACUUUGUGCUGGUUUGUUUUAUAGAAUCAGCAGCUAUGUCGAUUCUGCUGCCAUACAUAAUAUGUGUGAGUGGUGGUCCAUGUUGACUUCAAAUAUACCCUGUAUUCAUGUUGCCCAAACUAAUAGUCCUAUCAGCAUAACUAUCAGUUCAUUCGACGCUCGAUACCGAAGCGCGUUUUUACCAAUCAAGCAACGACCUCCUCUGCAAUGCACCAGUUCCAACUGAUUGCUUCGUGUCAACCGGCAUUUAGCAAUUUCGCGGUCACCUAUCUCUUCCGCUCUACCUGUCUCUUCAGUCUACCAGAAGACGGCAACAGUCUACCGGAAAACAAUGGGUGAAUGGGACGUUCGUCACGCAGGAGCACAACGCAUUGACUUGUACCGUUACUCCUAUUAUUACGACUGCCUUUUAUCUAGAUGUGUGAAACGGUAAACAGCGUCACUUUCUUUCUGUCAACUUCUUAACGGUUGUUCUUGUUUAUUUAUCAUUUUUAUGUCUCUCAUUGUAUACUCAAAUAGCACGCUUUCUUUUGAAGUGGCCACGCCACUAAUUUCAAUCGUACUGGCCAUCUUGAUUCUCCAGCGCCGGAGACCUAAGCGGACCCUACAUCGUAUGAUUUAUAUCGAACCCUUACCCAAUCGCCAUGCUGAGCCUAGACUGUAAUUUGGGCAAAGCAGACAGAAACUCACGUUCAAUUCGAUCGUCACAUAGGACUCUUUGCGUUCGCACUGGGCACGAAUUUUAAUCAGUUGAUUUCCUUCUUAGAACGUCAUAUAUGAUGAUACCCCGCGUUUAAAAAGUGAUCGAUAUCGUUUGAUGAACGAACAAGCAGCCCUCACUUGGAACGUUGAAAGCGGUUAAUGCAAGUUGGUCUUGCACAUCGUUCCCAAUGGUUGGCUAACAAAAACCAUUACCCGAUGUUCGUCCACGGAAUACAUAACUUCGAAAGUCCUGUCAGCUAUAUAUUGAGACAACUCGUGAAUUGUUUCGUGUAUGUGCUUUCUCGUGCCACUGCAAUAUGGCUAUAAGCAAUAACAUUUCCCAAAGGUCUGGCAAAUUUGACUCAGUAGCAGGAGAAGGGACCGGCAAGCCGGACGAAAUGGCUGACAACAAACCCAGCGCGCAUUUGCGGCGUGGAUUUAACUGGCGGCUUGGUCAGCGACUUUUCGACUGCUGUGCUGGCCCUGUUUGAACUCGUAUGUCCACAAGCCCACCAUUGCUCAGCUUCGCUUACGUAUUCGUCUCUAUACCGUUCGGUUGAUUUGUUCGAUUCGAAAGAAGGUGUAAUUAAGAUACAACGGUAAAUUUCUGCCUAACCAAAACCAUGCGGUAGCAGUCAGUCGUACUUGAGCCCGUAACUCUUUUGAGCCCUGUAGCAACCUGCGCCAACCAAACGAGCCCCAUAGCUGUAGUUCUCAUCAUCAUAAUCAUCGACGUCGUCACUAUCGCGUUCGUCUUAGGCGCUUAGGAACGGUGCUUAGUUCGAGAGUUCAACAGAUUUUGGCAGAAUGGCAAACCCGCUGGGUCCGGCGACUGGUAACACGCACACACGCACUGACGCUCGUAUAACUGCACAUACAUGUAAACAGUACAAGGUAACACAAAGCUCUCGACGGUGAGCAUAGGGACUGUGACACAAUAUAUAAUGAAAUAGUUCUCAAAGAGAAACCACAUUAAUGGCAGCAGCUGUUGUAACUGAAGUGGCGAAAAAAGGAGGAGCUGAUGUCGGCCGCCCGUGGUCGUUUGCAAAAAGCAAGCCGGAAUUCGGUUCGUGACGGCAUACGAAUUGUACACUGAAAUACUGACAAAUGUCGGCGCCUUCCGAUAAUCCUUAAUGCUUAUUCCUGCUCUAUUUGAAGGUAACGAAUAGUUUCUGUGGAUAUGCGGCCGCUCGUUCCCAACUCAACAGAGUGUGCCCAAGUCUCAAAUUAUGCUGUGAUCGGCAUUGUAGUAUGAGCAUGAUAACUGUACUAAUUUAAUUCAUCUAACAAAUAAACUGGUAGAAAAAGAAAGUAGCUAUGAUGUAAAACCACAAUCAUUAUCGAUGUAUUGUAAUUAUGAUAGGCAUGGUCGCAACGCGAUUAGUAUUCCGAUAAGAAUCCGAUCUGAUAUCGCAGUACAGCAUCCCGUUUGUUAUCAGUCUCUCAAAAGCUGCGCCGAUAGAAAAAUAUCUACUAUCAUGUAGAUAAGUCUAUGUUCAGAGAUCUCAUUAUAUCGACCAUCUUUUUCCGGUUUAUGUGAUAAGCCUUUUUGUCUUCCAUGAGAGAAAAAACCAUUUGCCCGAAUCGUAUUGAAUUAGGUUGGCUGAUAACAGCAGUACAGUGGAUGUGGCAGGCACCAGUCGGAUUCACAUCCGCCAUGAGAUGUCUCCAUCAACCGUUUUGACACUACAAAAAGAAUCAGCUUCCACCUACAAAUGACUUGGGCAAAAAGUCAGCUUCUAAUGAUCUAGUGCACAUAUGAGGUUCGCGACUCCAUUUUUGCAUAUCUAUUCGAUCAUUGUCAUAAUAAGGGUUUAGAACGAUAAAAGCGACAGAUCACUCAAUAAACCACGUUUCCGCCGAUGCCCGAAGUUCCAAGUUAUGCCUAUUGGCCGCCAUGAAGAGAGCAUAAACAAUUAGAAUAAGGACCUACAAAGCUGCCAAGCAAAGCGUCGUCCUUGCAACUUGCGUUUUCGAACGCGUCAUCUUACGCCUAAUUUAUUCCAACAUCGCAAAAUCAUACAUUCAUAAAUAUGUAUCAGUCCGAUGUUUGAAAGCAUUCUGUCAUGUUAAUUAACUAUUCUGAUAAUCACUUUCGGUUAGCGGAACAUUUAUCAACUGACCUUAUCAUACGCAUACGCACUCAUACAAAUCAAUAAAAAUAAAAAAAAUACAUUUCCUCUUUAAAUGGCUAGCCUGAUUCAUUGAAAUCAAUACUAUCUUCAAAAUUUCCACCCGCUAGCGACAGUUCAACUGCGUUCGCCGUUACAAACGGGUAUAAAUUGUUUUAGACUAUAAUCUUUAUUAGAGUACCAUUAGGGUAUAUAAUUAAUCUGUUCGGCGACGCACGUACGUCAACUAUCGCCAUUUUCAUCGCUCGUUUGUCCAUGCUCCUUCUGAUAUGUGUUUUCCCACAACCAGUUUUUCCUGCCUUAGCUAAGGUGAUGGUCAGCUAACGAAGGAUGACCCUUCAUGAUCAUCAUCGCGUCACUGGUAGCUGUCAAUAACAGCAUCAACAACAGCCAAGUUAAGCAGUAUGCUUCAACGCAGCCUUAAUGACCCCCUAUUUAUUAGGGCAUGCGAAUGUACGAGUAGGCAUGGCGCCGCUGAGGACACGCUCGCUAGAUUUGCCCUGUUCCACCUAAUGUCAAAUGAUUCUGUGUUGCUGUACAACAAUGUUGAGCAGUGAACUGUGCCUAUCCGUCCAGUCAACACCUCCAAGGCCGAUAACAUCACAUGAAAAAGACGCACCAUCAAACAGGUCAAUUUGUGCCCUUUAGGAAAUUGCAGGAAGAGAAACACAGACUCUACAGAAAAGUCAACAUAGUUAGAACUAAUAGUGCGUAGCUUUCGCUAAUAAGAACGUUAAUGAUAACAACAGACACAACUAAAAAUGGGACAAUCUGGAAGCUUUGUCGUUGCUGUUUUACUUCGGUGAACGACAGCAUCAAAACGCGCGGGUCACGAAUCGCGCAACGGCAGGGGAGCUAGCAGCUUUAAGUCAAACUAAUCGCCCUGGCCGCUUUCAGCGAUGACAGCCCGGUGGAGACCUACCGCGAU